AAUUGGCAAUUUGCUGAAACUUGAGAAGGUAAAUCCAGGAGAGUUGACGAGCACUGCGAGUACGUUCCUUCUUAUCAACGGUAGGGCUACGGAUCUCAACUGUCAAAAAGCUAGGGCUUUCGGAGGAAGAAGAGAGGAGGUCGUCAUUGCCAUUGGCUCUUUGCUUGUUCCACCAUUCCUGAAACUCAUGAUUGGGCGGCCGAGACAUAUAUGGAUAAUGCGAGUGAAUCAAUGGUCGCCGUUGAUAUUGUCUACUUUCAGAUCUCGAUUUUGUGCCGGCUAUGGAACAUGGAGAUAGUGUGUAGUGUGUGUGAGAGUGCCUAGUGUGAUCCGGAGAAUAGGGAAGAAAUGCCGGAAGCUAAUGAAGCUAAAUUUAGUUAAGUCCAGAAGCUCAGACUGUCUAAAGUUCGAGUUGGAUGUGUGCUUGGGCAAAUUUUGAGGCAUACCAUGUGCGACUGAAGAAGAGAGGAGGUCGUCAUUGUCAUUGGCUCUUUGCUUGUUCCACCAUUCCUGAAACUCAUGAUUGGGCGGCCGAGACAUAUAUGGAUAAUGCGAGUGAAUCAAUGGUCGCCGUGAUAUUGUCUACUUUCAGAUCUCGAUUUUGUGCCGCCUAUGGAACAAGGAGAUAGUGUAUUGUGUGAGAGUGCGUGGUGUGAUCCGGAGAAUCGGGAAGAAAUGCCGGAAGGUAAUGAAGCUAAAUUUAGUUAAGUCCAGAAGCUCAGACUCUCUAAAGGUUGAGUUCGAUGUGUGCUUGGGCAAAUUUUGAAGAACACCAUGUGCGACAAUAUUCGAGGAUCCCACGCGCUCAUAACAUUCUAUUCUCACGAGCACUGUGGCUUUAUUCUUUUUUUUUUUUCCGUUGUCUAAUACUCCUAUUGGUUUUGCAAGUAUAGUGAAUUUGUGCUUACUAAACGAUGAUGAGAAGAGAAAUAGAAGGAUCUUUA
rnacentral:lncRNA from 1 species